UACGUAUGGUGCAAGCGUUAUCCGGAAUGACUGGGUGUAAAGGGAGCGUAGACGGUUGUUCAAGUCUGAUGUGAAAGCCCUCGGCUUAACUGGGGGAGUGCAUUGGAAACUGAAGGACUAGAGUAUCGGAGAGGCAAGUGGAAUUCCUAGUGUAGCGGUGAAAUGCGUAGAUAUUAGGAGGAACACCAGUGGCGAAGGCGGCUUGCUGGACGAAAACUGGCGUUGAGGCUCGAAAGCGUGGGGAGCAAACAGG
rnacentral:rRNA from 1 species